CAGCCGCCGCGGGAAUACGUAGGUCCCGAGCGUUGUCCGGAUUUAUUGGGCGUAAAGCGAGCGCAGGCGGUUAGAUAAGUCUGAAGUUAAAGGCUGUGGCUUAACCAUAGUACGCUUUGGAAACUGUUUAACUUGAGUGCAAGAGGGGAGAGUGGAAUUCCAUGUGUAGCAGUGAAAUGCGUAGAUAUAUGGAGGAACACCGGUGGCGAAAGCGGCUCUCUGGCUUGUAACUGACGCUGAGGCUCGAAAGCGUGGGGAGCAAACAGGAUUAGAUACCCGAGUAGUCACUGUCUCUUAUACA
rnacentral:rRNA from 1 species